AUGACGAGUGGCGGACGGGUGAGUAAUGCUUGGGAACUUGCCUUUGCGAGGGGGAUAACAGUUGGAAACGACUGCUAAUACCGCAUAAUGUCUUCGGACCAAACGGGGCUUCGGCUCCGGCGCAAAGAGAGGCCCAAGUGAGAUUAGCUAGUUGGUAAGGUAACGGCUUACCAAGGCGACGAUCUCUAGCUGUUCUGAGAGGAAGAUCAGCCACACUGGGACUGAGACACGGCCCAGACUCCUACGGGAGGCAGCAGUGGGGAAUAUUGCACAAUGGGGGAAACCCUGAUGCAGCCAUGCCGCGUGUGUGAAGAAGGCCUUCGGGUUGUAAAGCACUUUCAGUUGUGAGGAAAAGUUAGUAGUUAAUACCUGCUAGCCGUGACGUUAACAACAGAAGAAGCACCGGCUAACUCCGUGCCAGCAGCCGCGGUAAUACGGAGGGUGCGAGCGUUAAUCGGAAUUACUGGGCGUAAAGCGCACGCAGGCGGUUUGUUAAGCUAGAUGUGAAAGCCCCGGGCUCAACCUGGGAUGGUCAUUUAGAACUGGCAGACUAGAGUCUUGGAGAGGGGGAGU
rnacentral:rRNA from 1 species